AUAUAAUAGUUAUACCAGUGUUUAGGAGGCAGAGACACGAGGAUUCCUUGGGCUUAGUGCCCUCCCAUAUUUAGGUCCUAAUGUCUCUGACAGAAUCUCAGAAAACAAGAUGAGUUUGUGAGAAAUAGCCCCCAAGGAUUCCCUUUGGUCUCUACAUGGAUAUGUUUUUGUUCUCAGACAUUCAACUAAUCAUGUGCACCCUAACUCUUCCUUCCCCAACACAAAAGAGAAUGUAAAGGGGAAGACAGUAAGAAAGUUCUUUGAGCUUCCAUUGGAGUAGCUGUCGGUGUUUGGAUUUAAAACAGAUAAACAUUAACAGAGCAGCAGUGCCUUGUAGAGAAAUACAGUGAGAACAAACUGCAGGGAGGAAUAAACACAUAGGGUGGGGGGUGCCCUGCUUUAACAUUUUACAAUAUUAAAGGAUAGCAUUUUAAUGAUGUUUUAUUUACUAUUAUCAUAUAAUACAUCCAGACUAUAACCUCUCCUCCCUCUAUUCCUCCCAGUCCCAUUCCACCUCCUUUCUCCGUAAGAUCCACUCCCUCCUAUUUCUCUUCAGAAAAGAACAGGCCUCCCAGGCAUAUCAAUCAAACACAGCAUAACAAGAUCUCAUAAGACUAGGCACAAUUCCUCAUAUCAAAGCUGGACAAGACAACCUACUAUGAGGAAAACGGUCCAAAUAGCAGGCAAAAAGUCAGAGAUACUACUCCAAUGGUUAAGCGUCCCACAAAAGAACACCGAGCUAAACAAUCACAUCCUGUAUUCAGAGGACCUAGCACAGACCCAGGGUUUCUCAAGCUCUGCAUAAUGUUUGGCUGUUAGUCUCUGCAUCUGCUCCCAUCAGUUGCCAGAGAAAACCUCUCUGAAGAUGACUGGGUCUCGAGCCAGCCAGCAUCCAGUUCCUGGCCAUCCAGGCAGUGUCAGGCAUGGGCUCCCUCUUGUGGCUUUUGCCGCAAAUAGAGGAGUCAUUGGUUGGACACUCCCAUAAGCUCUGAGCCACUUUUACCCCAGCACAGCUUGGAGACAGGACAGGUAUGGGUCAAAAGCUUUGUGGUUGGGUUGGUGUCCCAGUCCUAAAACGGGAAACUUGCCUGGUAACAGAAGAUGGCAGCCUCAGGCUCUGUAUCCUCCAUUACCAGGAGUCUUCACUAGAGUUGUGGGAUAUUCUACUGUGAUCCCUGAGAUUGCAUUAAUUAAAUAAAAUCAACAUUAAUUCAAGAGGUGCAGCCAGAAACUAGUUGACAAGUAGUAGCUAUAGAGAGUAAGAGGGAGUCUGUAAAAUGGAUAGGGAAAUACACAGGAAGUAGUGAGGAAGGACGUUGAGUUUAGUUCCUUUUUUGAUUUGGGACAGUGGAAGAGACACUUUCUUUCUGAGAUGCUGGCUAAGCAGUAAUGUGAGCUGCUUGCUCCUUGGGCUUUCAUUGCUAGCAGUUUUCACCCCAGCAUCUGUAUUCCAAGUCUUUGCUGGAAAAAUUGUAAGCUUGGGAUUUAGUUUCAAAACAACAUACUAGGGAUACCCUAGUAUGUUCCAGGAAGUUUCCAUUGCACUAGGUUUCCACAUUUCCCCAUUCCAGUUUUCCCUCCAUGUACUCACUCCCUCUCUCUGUCCCUCCCUCUCCCACCUGAUCCAUCCUGUUCUCAUAUCCAGGUAUCUCCAGUCCACAGAAAAAUUAAUUCUAUUUCCCUUUCCCAGGGAGACACAUGUCCACUCCCCACCCCCAGACCUCCUUGUAUCUUAGUCUCUAUGGGUCUGUGUGUUGUCGUUUGAUUCACUUUUAUUUAACAGUUAAUACUCACAGUGGCACAGAUAUGUGGAUGGAAGUUCUGUCCCACCCAGUCCCACAGUAGUUUAGUCCCAAAUAAACACAAAGUCUUAUAUUAAUUAUAAAUUACUUGACUAACUGCUCAGGAUUAUUAAUAUCUAGUUCUUACAAUUUAAAUUAACCCAUAAUUCUUAUCUAUGUUUAGCCAUGUGGCUUUGUAUCUUUUCUCAGUGAGGAGGUCUCAUCUUACUUUCUCUGUGUCUGGCUGGCAACUAACUCUCUGCCUUUCUCUUCCCAGAAUUCUAGUCUGGGUAGCCCUACCUGGCUAUUGGCCAGUCAGCAUUUUAUUAAACCAAUAUGAGUGACAAAUCUUUACAUUGUACAAGAUCAUUACCCCACAUCACAGACCUUUGAUAUCUCCAUGUCCUUUGGUGAUAACACAGAACACGAACAUAGGUGUGGCCUGAGCUGCAGCAGGAACAUGGACCUAGACACAGCUCUGGUUGCAGUACAGACCACAGACAUCAACAUGGCCUCAGGUGGCUGCACAGGAUCCUGUUUUCACACCCAUUUUGUUAGUCUGUGUCUUUUUAAUGGGGAAUUGAGUCAAGUGGUAUUGAGAUAUAUCAAUGAUUAAUGAUUGCUGCUUUCUGUUAUUUUGUUGUUGCUACCGUUGUGGUGGUGAUGUGUGUGUGUGUGUGUGUGUGUGUGUGUGUGUGUGUGUGUGUGUGUGUGUUUGUGUACAAGCUUACAUUCUUUAGGUUUUGUUGGUGUGAUAUUAUUAUUUCCCACAUUUUAUCGGUAUAGUUAACUUUCUUUUGUUGUUUUUUGUUUAAUAUUUUUUAUCUUAC
ensembl:lncRNA